rnacentral:rRNA from 1 species
CUCACGAAGCUAUUUUUUCAUUUGGAAUUACACAAAAAAGAUUUUUCAUCGGAAAGAGGUCUACGAAGACUUUUGGGAAAACGUCGACGUUUGCUCUUGUAUCUGUUUUCCUCCUCUUUAGCCAUUGCUUCUUUAACCAUAUCUUUGUUAUUCUUUAGGGGCAAUUUAAACAUGUUCGCAUCCGAUUGA